GAGCAUGAUCCAUUUUAUGAUAAAUUUUAUCUGUUUUUCAAAGAAAUAAAGUUGAUUAAUUGCCAUAGCCUAGUUGGUGUCGGCUAUUCUUGCAGUCAUGCAAAACUAAAGGAAUCUUGGACCGUAAUAAGAAGACAUCUUAAAGAUGCACUCUUACUCCCAAGUACCACAAUUCAUACAAUUGUUUUAAUAUACCAAAAAGUAUUAACAUGUCGAAAAGAAUGUUUCUUAUGAAGAAUACCGAAUUUAAUUUGAAAGGUGCAGAAAACACGGAUUUUCUACCUUAUGAGACAAUAAAAGAUCAAAGUAUAUAUUUUAAAACUCACCAAUCAUUUAAUUGUUUUGGGUUUUCUGCCAUUAAAUUCACGGUUAAAAUCUUGUUAUCUUUAAUUAAUAUUUUCCAUAAUUGCAUUAUUAAGUAAGAAGUUUUGGGUUUAAGGUUUAUUACUCAAAAUGUAUGUUUGUUAAACAUGUGUAUGUAUUGAUUUUGAAUAAGAGUGUACCUUUAAGUCAUUUCCUAACUUAUUUCUUUCUUAAUUUAAGUUUCUCACUUUUCGUAAUAAUGAUAUAAUUGCUUCAUGAUAUUUGGAAUAAUUUCAUUGAUUUUUUCACAAAACUAUUCUUUUAUGCAACUUUCUUGAUACUUUUCUUUUAAUUGGACAUACAAAAUUGUAGGACAUUGAUCAAAGUUAAGAAAUUUGUAUUAUUGUAAGGUAUUUGCUUCCUGAUUCCUAUGGUAAAUGAAUGACUAAAGUAUGUUAAACAUUAAGCUAUCACAGUGUUUAUAUAAAUAUAAAAGAAACUUAUCAAGAAAAUAGCAUAAAACACAGUUUUGUAAUCAAAUCAAUGAAGUUAUUUUGUUUCAACCGAAAAAGAGUGUAUCAUGAUCUAUUUUACAUUUUUGCACACAUAAACCGUUCAAAAAGGCAUCAAAAAUUGUUUGUUUCAGGUUUCCCGACCUACCAUAUUGUUGGUCCUGAUACUAAGACUUUUUUUCUUGAGAAAUAGUUUUCAUUCAUUGGUUUGAUUAUUUUUCUUUUAAAAGUUAACCAUAAAGUGUUUUGGGCUUUUAACAAAAUCAGUGAUACUUAUACUGAUUGACUAGAAUCAUUAGAUGUUCUUAAGAAUAUAACUUAUAGUUGUUGGAAACAGAAAAAUCCCAAUAAGUAAACUGUCAAAUAAAUCGACCUCCCUACCCUAUAAAUCUUUUAAAAAAACUCAACUCAAGCAAGGUACACAUAUAAAUGAUGACUAUGAUCAUGUGUUUAGCAAUUAAGAUUAUUUUGACUUAACUUUUGGCUUUUUCUGUUUUAUACAAACUUGUUUCUUAUAAUGUCAGUUAACAAAUUUCCAAAGUCAGUUGAUAUUCUAGCGGUCAAUUGACUGACUUAUCUCUGUAAAUCGGAAUAUGUACCAUUCAGUGUCACUCACCCACACGUAUCAACUUGGCCCUCACCAGCAACCAUUUGGAUAGACUUCGUAAAUAGACGCAUUGGAGAAACCAGAACUACUGUUGGAAAAGCAGUUUGCUUAGCGUUGGCCCAAUAAUUAAUACAGUAACUAUUGUAUUCUUUUGUAAAGACUAGCUCAACUCAAGUCAUUUGAAUAAUUUCAAUUUAAUGUGUUGUAGGGAAGAAGAUGGGAGACACCAUAUCAGAGACGGAGUUUGUGAAGCUUAUGUCGCAGCAAAUACAGGGCACUGUGACCUUGACUGAUUCAGAGAGGUCAGCGGCAUUUCAAGCUGCGAGUCUUGGGGAAAAGAUUACAAAGUACCCCAAAGAGUCAGCUGCUGUCUCUGGCGAAUUUGCCCUGGAGUAUGCGUCACGUAAUGGGCUCCGCAUGGUUUUUGGAUGUAUACCCGUUGAUCAAAUCAACUUCUUGAUCCUAUUCUUCAUUUCUGGCUACAUAUCGAAGACAUUUUUACAAUUCAUCCUGCCAUUGGGAAUGUUUUACAUAUCGUAUGCAACAAUUAUCAUCACAACAAUACAAAUACUCCAUAAGAAAAUGAAGCUCAAGGAAUCCUCAGAUUUUGCCAAAAUGUUACAUCAUUAUUACGAUCGUGUCGACGUUGAUCAAACUCAGUCUCAAUACGCGUGGAAUUCUCUUCCACUAUAUCUUGGGUAUUUGGUGGCUAUGUGUUGUGUUGUGACAAGUUUUUCAUUGGCUGACAAAAUGUAUAUUCCCUGCUCGGAGCUGUGUGUUCUAAACUCCGUGAUCUGCGGCAUUUGUUUUGUAUACAUCAGCGACAGUCAUGCUCGUGUUACCUUGCUAUUCCUCUUCUUUCUUUCAAGGUUGCCAGUUUUCCUCCAGAAUUUCCCAAACGUCCCAGUAUUGACAUCCAUUAUCGAUGUCUUGUCAGGAAAUAUAUUUUCUGUAGAUCUGUACGCUGGCUUGACACUCAAUGUUGGCAUACCAUCUAUUUGUUACAGUCUGAUUCCUGUGUUCUUCAUUCAAAUGGCGAGAGAGUCUGGGGUGAGCCGGUUAGCUAUACCGCAUCUGGUGUGCUAUUUCUGGUUUGAGUUAAUUACAAAGAUGUACCCUUUCACGACAUGGUUUGGCUUAGCUUAUUUCUUCAUCGAAAUGCCUUCGUCAGACAUGUUCGGAAAGAUUGUUAUUACGCUUUUGAUUGCUGGUAUUACGAUUGUGCUCUCCCUAAUAAAGAAAUUCGUGGGUGGUAAGUUUGCAAUUCUGGCUAUAACUACUCUGAUAUUUGUUAAAGUUUUACCCACUGAAGUAGCCCAACAUGGACAACUGUCUUCAGAGAGGUUUACGUCUGUUUGCGACGCAGAUAUGGAGAGUUUUAUGAGCUGUCAUGCUCUAAAGGGUACAAACGUUGUUUGGAAUGGUACAGUGACAAACUUGAAAGUCACGUCUGUAACAAACGAGGUCAAUUCAAUGAUGGACAUUUUUCCGGUCUCCAAACCAUUAAGAGACAUUUACGGCAAACGUUAUGAUUGUGAUGAUGAAAAUUUAAAUGUUCAUGGAAAAGCUUUCUGUAGUCUGAUGGUUGACCUUGGCUAUCUGUUUGGCUUAGAAAGUUAUGACAAGUAUGCAUUUAACAUCGAAGUAGUACUUCCAAAUAACAUGAGUGCGGUUGUUGAUGCCGGGUCUAACUAUAAGAAGACAUUUCUGGCUCUUGAAGAAGGGGAUGAAUUGGAAAUCAAUGCUACUAUAGCUGAUGCUCUUGCGAGGCCCGUUAAACUCCAUCCCAAGAAACUUAAGUGCCUGAAUCGAGACAUAGGUGUUGAAGAGGGUGAAAAGGAUGAUGAGGAUUUGCAUUUUGAUAUGUUACAAGCGGCUUUCAGUGUGGCGUUCAAUUUCUUCUGGCAUCCUUUGGUAGAGUAUGUUCCUCGGACAACUAAAACGGAAUAAAUGACUGGAUAGAGUAUGGGUUUUUUCUGGGGAUUUAUAUGAACAAUUAAUUUUUCAUCUGAGACUUUAACUUGUUUCUUAUUGUAACACUACAAUUAGGUGCAGCCGAGUUUGAACGGCAGACUAUUUACAUCAUCGAAAAUAAUCGACUAUUAUGUAUGAUUUGAGCUCGGAAUAAUUGGUUUAAUUCUUGCAUUCUGCUGAGUGGUACAAAGUGAGUCUAGAAGAGUCUCUUUCGCAUACUAUUAUAAUGAAAUACAUUGUGGAUUAUGUUUCAGUGCUUGAUAGGUAACAGCAUAUUUUAAGGCAGGUAUUACAGGGGACAAGAUGUGUCCAAUUCUGCUUGUUCUUAUCUUGAAUUACGCUCUUGAUGCAAGUUGUGUAUUUCUCUUGUAUAAGAUUUAAAUGGUUAGAAAUAUAAAUCUCACAAGUAAGCGUAGAUGACCUGUUUAAUCAUUUAUAGGGAGUUGAAGAUUGCUAUCUAUUUAUAAUGACUUUCCGAUAGAACAAAAAUGGCGUCUGUCUCAAUGUUUCAAAGAUAAGAAUAUUGGUACAACACAUAUGAGCUGCAACGAGCAGAAAUAGAUCUUACAGUUUGACAUCAGCAGGCAUAACAAUGAUGUCAUAGUUUGAGUAAGCGUAAAUUACAAUGUAUGAUGUCAUAUUUUGAUGUAAGCGGAAAAUUACAAUGUAUGACGUCAUAUUUUGAUGUAAGCGGAAAAUUACAAUGUAUGAUAUCAUAUGUUGAUGUAAGCGGGAAUUACAAUGUAUGAUGUCAUAUUUUGAUGUAAGCGGAAAAUUACAAUGUGUGAUGUCAUAUUUUGAUGUAAGCGGAAAAUUACAAUGUAUGAUGUCAUAUUUUGAUGUAAGCGGAAAAUUAAAAUGUAUGAUGUCAUAUUUUGACGUAAGCGGAAAUUACAAUGUAUGAUGCCAUAGUUUGAUGUUAGCGGGAAUAACAAUUAUGAUGUCAUAGUUUAAAGUAAUAUCUCAACGACUUUAAGCCUGUUUUUUCGGUAACAAAAUAUAUCCCGUUACAACCAAUAAUGAUUUAUUACAAGAUUUGAUCGCACGAUACGGUCGUUGAUAAGAUGACCCCUGUAUUUAAAAUGAGUAUCUGUUAGAUGAUAUGAAAUAACUCUCAAUGAUUAAAAAUGGGAGGAAUGUGUGUAGCGAUCGAGCCUUUCUUAAACGUUAAGAUAUAACUUCAGGUCAUUUAACUGACUAAGAAUACAACCUCUUUGGCUGACACAUUAUCGACGUAAAAUCUUACGCAGGGAUAGUGUAUUAGAUGGGUGGCAUAAGGUGGACUAUUAAACACCGAACGUAGAUUUUUUUAAUGAUUAUUGAUAAUUAAACCUAAUACUUAAUGAUUGCCUAUCUGCAAUUUUAUUGGCUGAAAAUGUAGUUUGUAUUCCAAAAAACUAGAUUGAGUUUUUUGUUUUCUCAUCUGUGUUAGUAAGAUUAUUAUUGAUGUAACUUAUUUAUUUAAACUAAAUUGUAACAGUACACAUGUGUAACAUUUGUUUUGGACUUUUGUUUGCACUGUACUGGAACUAUAGUUAAAAUAUAAUCAAAUGCAUGAUAAUUUUAAUAAGAUUGAAGUGUAGGUUAUCACUCUAUUUGUUUUGUUAUCUUAUUUGAAGGUUGUGCCCCAGACUACAGUCUGUGAAAGAACAAGUUUUUGAAGAAUGUAUAUACUUAUUGAUAAAACAUUUCAUAGUAUUUAAAUAUAGACGUUUUAUAAAUGUGUCCAUUUGUUUUCUGUGUUAGUUUUUUAGCAUCACAUAUUUAUAUAUACUGAGUGUAUUUUGUUCACAAUAUGCAGUUAUGUAGUUUCUGUGAUAUAUUUCUUAAUACUCGUUUUCUACUAUUUGCAAAGGUUUUAUUUGCAAUUACAAGCAUAUUAUUUUUCUACAUGUGAUGACAUUGUUAUUUACUGAAAUCAUAUACUCUAUAUUGGUGUUGAUGUAUCAUAUUUUGUAGAUCUAGCAGGGGUAAGGGAUUGUUUGAGUGUAUAUUUGAAUUGUUACUAUACAAUAAUGAGUCGCGAAGCAUGACACGCAGAAAUUGAUAAUUAAGUUAAGAUGACGUAAGCAAACACUAUGACAUCGCAGUUUGUUGUUACUAAAUAUAAAUUGUGGUUCUCAGAGUGUGAACUUUAGUUAAACUUUAAUAAAAUGAGUGUUAAUUUUAACCUGCUAUAAAGUGUAGGUAAUCACUAUUUGUUUUGUUAUCUUAUUUGAAGGUGUGCCUCAGACAACAUUCUGUGAUAGAACAAAGUUUCGAAUAAUUUAUAUACUUAUAAAUAAAACAUUAAAAAGCAUUACAAUAAAGGCAUUUUAUAAAUUUGUCCAUUUGUUUUCUGUGUUAGUUUUUUAGCAUCACAUAAUUAUAUAUACUGAGUGUAUUUUGUUCACAAUAUGCAGUUAUGUAGUAUCUGUGAUAUAUUUCUUAAUACUCGUUUUCUACUAUUUGCAAAGGUUUUAUAUGCAGUUACAAGUAUAUUAUUUUUCUACAUGUGAUGACAUUGUUAUUUACUGAAAUCAUUUACUCUAUAUUGGUGUUGAUGUAUCAUAUUUUGUAGAUCUAGCAGGGGUAAGGGAUUGUUUGAGUGUAUAUUUGAAUUGUUACUAUACAAUAAUGAGUCGCGAAACAUGACACGCAGAAAUGGAUCAUAUAGUAAAUAUGAAGUAAGCAAACACAGUUUGUUGUUACUAAAUAUAGAGAAGUGGUUCCCAUAGUGUGAAAUUUAGUUAAAAUUUAAUAAAAGGAGUGUUAAUUUUAACAAGUUAUGAAGUGUAGGUAAUCACUCUAUUUGAUUUCUUAUCUGUUUUUGAAGGUUGUUGCUCCGACAACAUUAAGCAAUAGAACAAAAUUUCGAAUAAUUCAUAAAACUUUAAAAAGCAUUUGAAUGAAGAUAUUUUUUAUAAAUUUGCCGAUUUUUCACGUUAGUUUUUAGCAUUACGUAAUUAUAUAUACCGAGUGUAUUUUGUUCACAAUAUGCAAUGUAGUGUCUGAUAUAUUUGUUCUUUUUCUACUAUUUGCAAGGGUUUUUUAUGCAGUUGCAAGUAAAUUAUUUUUAUUAUGUGUAAUAUUUUACCACAUGUGAUCACAUUGUUAUUUACUAAAAUUAUAUACUCUAUGUUGAUGCUGGUGUAUCGUAUUAUGUAGAUCUAGCUGGGGUAGGGAUUGUUUAAAGAUUGUUGGGGUGUAUAUUUAAACUAUUACUAAAGAACAAUGAAUCGCGACACAUGACACGCAGAAAUGGAUCAUAAAAUAUAUAUAACGCAGGCAAACAGUUUGACACCACAGUUUAUUGUUACUAAAAAGGAACAGUGGUUCCCAUGAGGUAAUUUACAUUUUUUAUGAAACAUAUUUUAUAUUAUUUUCAAAAUUGAUAAAUCAAAAACUUAUUUUAUGACAUAUACC